GAUGGAACAAUGUAGGCAAGGGAAGUCGGCAAAAUGGAUCCGUAACCUCGGGAAAAGGAUUGGCUCUGAGGGCUGGGCUCGUGGGUCCCAGUCCCGAACCCGUCGGCUGUCGGUGGACUGCUCGAGCUGCUCCCGCGGCGAGAGCGGGUCGUCGCGUGCCGGCCGGGGGACGGGCUUGAAGUACAAUUCCCAUCGAGCGGUGGGUAGAAUCCUUUGCAGAUGACUUAAAUACGCGACGGGGUAUUGUAAGUGGCAGAGUGGCCUUGCUGCCACGAUCCACUGAGAUUCAGCCCCAUGCCGCUCCGAUUC
rfam:Populus trichocarpa scaffold_14_contig_191, whole genome shotgun sequence.